AAUUGGGAAGGGGUGGGUUUCUACUGAAUCUCCAUUUCUGUAAUGGUUCUGUAACCACAGACGCUGGGAGAGGAGCAGCAAGUACAGGGUGAGGAUUUACUAAUAAAUAGACAUGAAACUAAAGAAGAACAGAGUCUGGACAAGAGAAACAAAACAUUAUCAAUGCAGACACAGGAAUGAAACUGAGGAAGUGACAGAUAUAGGGGAGGCAAUCAAUGACGUGAUGGAGUCCAGGUGAGUCCAAUGAAGCGCUGAUGCGCGUAACGAUGGUGGCAGAUGUGUGUAAUGAUGAGCAGCCUGGCGACCUUGUGCUCCAGAGAGGGGGAGCGGGGGCAGACGUGACAAUUUCAUUAUUCAAAACAAAGCAUUUACCUAAUUUCUGUCCCAAAGAAACGUGAGUGUUUUAAAGCUGUUUUUGAUAUACUCAUUACAGGAUUCCCAGAGUAUGGUGACGCAGGUCAAGUCCAACCCUACCUUCCUGGCACAUAGGGUGGCCAAUGUCAGACACAGACGACAUGACAGACACCCAGUUGACAGCACCGUCCCCAAGUCCAGGCUGAUUACCUGGGAGCCCUCGGAGGACUUUAUGAAGACCAGCCACGUGGUCAACACACCUGUACAGACCAUGCACAUCAAGGGGGACCUGGGACCACCAGGCAAACUUGGCCAAAACGAGAAGGAAUGCUUGUUGUGCACAAUAAGAGCAGAUGGAAAUGGAGUGAUUACCAUCAAACCAGACUUCAACAAAGUUGUUUCAUCAGCAAAGGUCAUCUCAAAUCUGAUUUUAUUUGUCACAUGCCGAAUACAACAGGUGUAGUAGACCUUACAGUGAAAUGCUUAUUUAAAAAAAAUAAGUGUUAGGUAAUUAUUUUUUAUUUUGGACCUAGACUUGGCGCUCCGGUACCGCUUGCCGUGCGGUAGAAGAGAGAACAUUCUAUGACUAGGGUGGCUUGAGUCUUUGACAAUUUUUAGGGCCUUAUUCUGACACCACCUGGUAUAGUGGUCCUGGAUGGCAGGAAGCUUGGCCCCAGUGAUGUACUGGGACAUACUCACUACCCUCUGUAGUGCCUUGCAGUCAAAGUCCGAGCAGUUGCCAUACCAGGCAGUGAUUCAACCAGUCAGGAUGCUCUCGAUGGUGAAGCUGUAGAAUUUUUUGAGGAUCUGAGGACCCAUGCUAAAUCUUUUCAGUCUCUUGUGGGGGAAUAGGCUUUGUCGUGCCCUCUUCACGGCUGUCUUGGUGUGUUUUGACCAUUAUAGUUUGGUGAUGUGGACACCAAGGAACUUGAAGCUCUCAACCUGCUCCACUACAGCCACGUCGAUAAGAAUGGGGGCAUGCUCAGUCCUCCUUUUCCUGUAGUCCACAAUCUUCUCCUUUGUCUUGAUCACAUUGAAGAAGAGGUUGUUGUCCUUGCACCACAUUGUCAGGACUCUGACCUCCUUAUAGGCUUUCUCGUCGUUGUCGGUGAUCAGGCCUACCACUGUUGUCAUCGGCAAACUUAAUGAUGGUGUUGGAGUUGUGCCUGGCCAUGCAGUCAUGAGUGAACAGGGAGUACAGGAGGGGACUGAGCAUGCACCCUAGAGGUGCCCCCGUGUUGAGGAUCAGCGUGGCGGAUGUGUUGUUACCUACCCUUACCACCUGGGGGCGGCCCGUCAGGAGGUCCAGGAUCCAGUUGCAAAGGGAGGUGUUUAGUCCCAGGGUCCUUAGCUUAGUGAUGAGCUUUGAGGGCACUAAGGUGUUAAACGCUGAGAUGUAGUCAAUGAAUAGCAUUCUCACAUAGGUGCUUCUUUUGUCCAUGUGUGAAAGGGCAGUGUGGAGUGCAAUAGAGAUUGCAUCAUCUGUGGAUCUGUUGGGGCGGUAUGCAAAUUGAAGUGGAUCUAGGGUUUCUGGGAUAAUGGUGUUGAUGUGAGCCAUGGCCAGCCUUUCAAAGCACUUCAUGGCUACAGAUGUGAGUGCUACGGGUCGGUAGUCAUUUAGUCAGGUUACCUUAGUGUUCUUGGGCACAGGGACUAUGGUGGUCUGCUUGAAACAUGUUGGUAUUACAGACUCCGACAGGGAGAGGUUGAAAAUGUCAGUGAAGACGAUUGCCAGUUGGUCAGAGCAUGCUCGGAGUACACGGCCUGGUAAUCUAUCUGGCCCUGCGGCCUUAUGAAUGUUGACCUGUUGAUCAAUGUUGAUCACAGUCAUCCGGAACAGCUGAUGCUCUCAUGCAUCUUUCAGUGUUACUUGCCUUGAAGCGAGCAUAGAAAUUAUUUAGCUCGUCUGGUAGGCUCGUGUCACUGGGCAGCUCUCGGCUGUGCUUCCCUUUGUCGUCUGUAAUAGUUUGCAAGCCCUGCCACAUCCGACGAGCGUCGGAGCCGGUGUAGUAUGAUUCGAUCUUAGGCCUGUAUUGACACUUUGCCUGUGUAACAGUAUAACUUUAGACCGUCCCCUUGCCCCGGGCGCGAACCAGGGACCCUCUGCACACAUCAACAACAGUCACCCACGAAGCGUCGUUACCCAUCGCUCCACAAAAGCCGCGGCCCUUGCAGAGCAAGGGGAAACCCUGCUUCAAGUUUCAGAGCAAGUGACGUAACCGAUUGAAAUGCUAUUAGCGCGUACCCGCUAACUAGCUAGCCAUUUCACAUCCGUUACACCUGUUUGAUGGUUCGUUGGAGGGCAUAGUGGGAUUUCUUAUAAGCUUCCGUGUUAGAGUCCUGCUCCUUGAAAGCGGAAGCUCUACCCUUUAGCUCUCUGCGGAUGUUGCCUGUAAUCCAUGGCUUCUGGUUGGGUAUAUACGUAUAGUCACUGUGGGGAUGACGUCAUUGAUCCACGUAUUGAUGAAGCCAGUGAUUGAUGUGGUGUACUCCUCAAUGCCAUCGGAAGAAUCCCAGGAACAUAUUCCAGUCUGUGCAAGCAAAACAGUUCUGUAGUUUAGCAUCUGCUUCAUCUGACCACUUUUUUAAUAGACUGAGUCACUGAUGCUUCCUGCUUUCAUUUUUUCUUGUAAGCAGGAAUCAGGAGGAUAGAAUUAUGGUCAGAUUUGCCAAAUGGAGGGCGAGGGAGAGCUUUGUACGCAUCUCUGUGUGUGGAGUGAAGGUGGUCUAGAGUUCGUUUUUUUCCCGCUCUGGUUGCACAUUUAACAUGCUGGUUGAAAUUAGGUCAAACUAAUUGAAGUUUCCCUCCAUUAAUGUCCCCGGCCACUAGGAGCGCCGCCUCUGGAUGAGUGUUUUCCUGUUUGCUUAUGGCGGUAUACAGCUCAUUGAGCAUCGGUCUGUGGUGGUGUGUAGACAGCUAUGAAAAAUAUAGAUGAAAACUUUCUAGGUAGAUAGUGUGGUCUGCAGCUUAUCAUGAGAUACUUUAGCUCAGGCGAGCAAAACCUUGAGACUUCCUUGGAUAUCGUGCACCAGCUGAUGUUCUAUCCUGCCGAUAGUGUAUAACCCGUAUGUUAUUAAUGACGUCGUUCAGCCACGACUGUGAAGCAUGAGAUAUUACAAUUUAAGGUCCCGUUGGUAGGAUAUAUGUGCUUUUAGUUCGUCCCAUUUAUUUUCCAGCUAUUGUAUGUUGGCUAACAGUACGGAUGGCAAAGGCAGAUUAGCCACUCGUCGCCUGAUCCUCACAAGGCACCCCGAUCUCCUUCUGCGAAAUCUACUUAUUUUUUUCCUACGAAUGACAAGGAUGAGGUUCUGUUCAGGUGUCUGGAGUAAAUCCCUCUCGUCUGACUCAUUACAGAAAAAUUCUUUGUCCAAUUCAAGGUGGGUAAUCGCUGUUCUGAUGUCCAGAAGCUCUUUUCGGUCAUAAGAGACGGUAGCAGCAACAUUAUGUACAAAAUAAGUUUCAAACAAUGUGAAAAAACUAACAAAAUAGCAUGGUUGGUUAAGAGCCAAUAAAACGUCAGCCAUCCUCUCUGGCGCCAGUACAACUUUAUAAGUCCAUGUUACGGGGAACAAAGGGAAUUUGUUUUUCUGAAGGGUUUGGUCACAGAUCUGCCAGUUCAGAUCAAAUCCCACGUUUUGUUGCCUGACUCAGGACUCAAACCAGUGACCUUUCAGUUACUGGACUAAUUCUCUAUCUUCCACCUUCUAACACAAUUUAAUAUUUUUAUUUCACCUUUAUUUAACCAGGUAGACAACAAGUUCUCAUUUACAACUGCGACCUGGCAUGGGCGUCCUAGGCGAAGUUCCCUUUACACUAUCCCAUGUGCGUGUCUCAUGAUCUGGUAAUGAGGUAGUCCUGCCUGUAAGUUUAAAAUCAGUGUCACCCGCAGCUCAAAGGGCAUUACAUCUUGGUCUAAUGGUCAAGACACUGGUUUUUCCCAUGGGAGGCCCGGGUACAGAUCCUGCCCAUGAAAUAUGCACACCUCUCCCAAAGCACAAUUCCACUACCACCAAUGUAGUGUUUUUUUUUGCAAACAGCAAUGGUGUAAUGUCCCUUUUGUCUCAAACCCGGGUCUCCCUGCCCGUAGGCAAACAAAUAUAUUUUAGUGAAUUUAGUGAACACUGUGCACAAUCCAGGUGUGGAAAGCUCUUAGAGACUUACCCCGAAAGACUCACAGCUGUAAUCGCUGCCAAAGGUGCUUGUACAAAGUAUUGGCUCAAGGGUGUGAAUACUUAUGUAAAUUAGAUAUUUCUGUAUUAAAUGUUCAAUACAUUUGCAAACAUUUCUUAAUAUGUUUUCACUUUCUCAUUAUGGUGUACUGUGUGUGGCUGGGUGAGAGAAAUACAUAUAUUUAAUACAUUUUGAAUUCAGGCUGGAACACAACGAAAUGUGGAAUUAGUCAAGGUGUAUAAAUACUUUCUGAAGGCACUGUAGACAAGGAUGGGGGCUUGGGGUUUUGAUGGGAAAGGUCUAGACUUUACAGGGCAGGACCAUGGUUAGCAGGGUUGGCCUUCAUUCCAUUUCAACUCAAUUAACUCUGAAAAUGAAGUUCAAAUGCAGUUCACUCAGUUCAGGAAACAACAAUAUCAAUGAAUUGGAUUUUUCAAAUGACCAAUUACUACAUUUGCUGAGCUGAGCCAGACUGGAAAGGAAUCAGAGUUUUGCAGGCAGAUCACCCGUGAUGCUAGUCAGUAUUUGACAUCCAUCCAUGGCUGAGGAUGUCAGGAUAUGACGUGGAAACCGGCCACUAGGGGCAACAGUGAGCGCUGUUACCUUUAAGUAAGUUUUGGUUUUUCUAGGACAUUGUGGAUGUGGAUAAGCAUCUGCCUCUGAUUCCAAAGGUUUCAUGGUUGAAUCCAGCGAUAGAAGGUCAUUUUUGAUAGUUUGGUAUU